ensembl:lncRNA
GGAAAGAAAGGCAUUGUGGUCUCUGUGGUUUGGUGACAAUGAAAUAAAGCCAAACGACAUGUUGUAGGAGUAUUAUUGGAACAGCAAACAACUGGCGCUCGCGUGUGAAUCCAGUCCGUUCAUCUGCGCGCGCCGCCUGGUGUCUUCCAAAGGCGCGAGCGCUUUAAGCGACUCUGGGACACAUUUUGUCAGCAACCAGCAAGCAUGGCUCUGUGGUAAUAGAAUAGCCCGUGUAAUUUGACACUUCAACUUGCCAUGCACUACGUUAGUUGAUUCAGACAGUCACACUAACGAAACGCCGUGCGCUUUUCUCUCACUGUUUGUGAAGUGUGAGGAGAGAAAACAGAUCGCAACUUCAAAUCCAGGAGAUUUUCGGCGCAGUGCUGUGAUUGGACCUGAAAGUGCGGUGGACCCUAGUGUAGACGGGAGCUUGCAGAGGGACCUUCCCCACGGACUAUAUGAAGGGAAGGGAGGGGAGGGGGAGGGGGGGCUGCUGACGUUACUCCCAGCUUGCAGAACACACAGAGACAAGAACUUUAAUGGCUUCCAGGUAGAGAGAAAGAGGCAGCAGUCAAGAUGAACUCGAUUCCUUCGAUGGACAGGCACAUACAGCAGACCAAUGACAGGCUGCUGUGCAUCAAACAGCACUUACAGAAUCCGGCCAAUUUCCAGACAGCGGCCACGGAGCUACUGGACUGGUGUGGAGACCCACGAGCCUUCCAGCGGCCAUUUGAGCAAAGCCUUAUGGGAUGCUUGACGGUUGUAAGUCGUGUGGCAGCACAGCAGGGUUUUGACUUGGACCUCGGCUAUCGGCUCCUGGCCGUGUGUGCGGCAAACCGCGACAAGUUCACCCCUAAGUCGGCAGCUCUCCUGUCGUCCUGGUGCGAGGAGCUGGGACGGCUGCUCUUGUUGCGGCAUCAGAAGAAUCGUCAGAGCGAUCCACCGGGCAAAGUACCCUUGCAGCCACCCAUGAACUCCAUGAAGCCCUCGCUCUCACAUGGUGAUGGGUCCUUUCCAUAUGACAGUGUUCCCUGGCAACAAAACGCUAACCAGGCCCCGGGUUCACUGUCGGUAGUUACGACGGUGUGGGGAGUUACCAAUACAUCACAAAGUCAGGUCUUGGGUAACCCCAUGGCCAAUACUAACAAUCCCAUGAACCCUGGAGGCAAUACACUAGGGACGAGUAUGUCAGGCAACAACCCAGGGAUCAACUCACCUCAGUUCCCUGGCCAACAACAACAGUUUUCAGCCAAAGGGGGAUCCAACCAGGCCUACAUGCAGCAAAGCAUGUAUGGGCGUCCAGGUUACCCAGGUGGGCCAAAUGCUCCGGGUGGCAUAGGCAUGCCCCCCCAUACACGACCGCCCUCUGAUUUCACCCAACCUGCUGCUGCUGCCGCCGCCGCCGCCGUCGCUGCUGCCGCCGCCACCGCAACAGCUACUGCCACAGCAACCGUGGCAGCCCUGCAAGAGACCAAUAAAGACAUGAACCAGUAUAACCAGAUGGGGCCUACGCAAGGCUACAAUAACCAGUUCAUGAACCAGCCAGGGCCCCGUGGACCCCCGUCCAUGGCUGGAGGCAUGAACCCAGCUGGUAUGGGUGGUGGCAUGAAUAGCUCCAACAUGAGUGGCCCACCAAUGGGUAUGAACCAGCCCAGAGGCCCAGGAAUGGGGCCCUUCGGUGGCCACGGCCAAAGGAUGCCUCAACAGGGUUACCCUGGACCCAGACCUCAGUCCAUGCCCAUGCAGGGCACCAAGAGGCACUAUCCAGGAGAGCCUAAUUAUGGAGGCCAGCAGUUUGGACCCAACGGCCAGUUUCCCAACCAGCAAGGGCAGUACCCUAACCCAAACGCUUCUAGAGCCCUUCCUUCACCCAAUUACCCUGGCCAAAGGAUGCCAGGACAACAGGGCUCUGGCCAGUACCCCCCUACUGGGCCUCCUCGGCAGGUGGUGAACUACCCACACUCGCCAGUUCCUGGGAACCCCACGCCACCCAUGACCCCUGGAAGUAGUAUACCAUACAUGUCGCCCAGUCAAGAUGUCAAGCCCCCGUUUCCUCCAGACAUGAAGCCAAACAUGACGUCUUUGCCUCCACCUCCAAGUGAGUCACCCAACCCCAAUGAGGAGCUGCGUUUGACGUUCCCAGUGAGAGACGGAGUGGUGCUGGAGCCCUUUAGAUUAGAGCACAACCUGGCCGUCAGUAACCACGUCUUCCAUCUGCGCCCCUCCGUCCACCAGACGCUUAUGUGGAGAUCUGAUCUGGAGCUGCAGUUUAAGUGCUAUCAUCAUGAGGACCGACAAAUGAACACCAAUUGGCCCGCAUCCGUCCAAGUCAGCGUCAAUGCCACCCCCCUCACUAUUGAGAGGGGCGACAAUAAAACAUCCCACAAACCCCUGCAUCUAAAGCAUGUGUGUCAGCCAGGGAGAAACACCAUCCAGAUUACGGUCACAGCCUGCUGUUGUUCGCACUUGUUCGUGCUGCAGCUGGUCCAUAGGCCUUCGGUGCGAUCGGUCCUGCAAGGGCUCCUCAAGAAGAGGCUCCUUCCUGCCGAACAUUGCAUUACCAAAAUUAAAAGAAACUUCAGUAGCGUAGCAGCGUCCUCUGGGAAUGCCACACUAAAUGGAGAGGAUGGAGUAGAGCAGACAGCCAUCAAAGUGUCCCUCAAGUGUCCAAUCACAUUCCGACGGAUCCAGCUCCCUGCUAGGGGACAUGACUGCAAACACGUGCAGUGCUUUGACUUAGAGUCCUAUCUUCAGCUCAACUGUGAGAGAGGAACGUGGAGAUGUCCUGUAUGCAAUAAAACAGCAUUAUUGGAAGGGCUGGAGGUGGAUCAGUACAUGUGGGGAAUUCUCAAUGCGAUCCAAAAUUCGGAGUUUGAAGAGGUCACCAUCGACCCUACGUGUAGUUGGAGGCCGGUGCCCAUAAAGUCAGACAUUCAUAUAAAGGAGGACCCAGAUGGCCCUCUGGCCAAGCGUUUUAAGACCAUGAGUCCCAGUCAAAUGAUCAUGCCUAAUGUGUUGGAUAUGAUCGCCCAGCUGGGUCCCGGCCCUUCACCCUACACCCCCCUCCCCCCUCAGCACGGAGGAAAUAAUGGCGAAUAUGGGGGCCAUGGCAAUAGUUAUCAGGGCCAUGGAAACUUUGACUUCUCCCACAGUAACUCUGGUGGCGGAACUCCCAUGAAUGACUUCAUGCAUGGACCCCAGCUCUCACAUCCUCCAGACAUGCCCAGCAGCCUCAUGGGCCCUGACAAGCCUCUCGCCCACGGCAUGCCCGACUCGAUGCCCCGUCCUGUGAGCGCUGAUCAAUCCCAUGCUUCCAUGCAGCCAGGCAUGCACGCAUCCCCUCACCCCAACAGCCAAUCAGCUCAGCCAUUGCAUCACAGCGGCCCCCCAUCCUCCCAGCACCCACGCCAGCCCCCGCCCCCCCAGCAGCCAGGCCAAAACAGUCACCCACAUGCCGAAAUGACCUUCAACCCCGCCGCUGAUGGGCAGGCAGGUGGCCAGGGACCUGCAGACAUGCCCGAGCCUUCUCUGGAUCUUCUGCCAGAACUGGCGAACCCAGACGAGUUGCUGUCAUACUUAGACCCUCCUGACCUCCCAAGCAGCAGCAAUGACGAUCUGCUUUCCCUUUUUGAGAACAACUGACUUCUUUCAGUCGGCCUUUUGCAGAGGCCCUAAUUUGUUUGGCUGUCAGGAAUCGAGAGGCACCUGAAGACUGACUCUGUACUUUGCAAACAGGAAACAGCCAUCCUUUUGCCUCUUCCUCGU